AAUCAACGCUGGCGGCGUGCCUCAGACAUGCAAGUCGAACGCGAAAGGUCCCCUUCGGGGGCGAGUAGAGUGGCGCACGGGUGAGUAACACGUAGGUAAUCUACCCCGAGUGGGGAAUAACUCAGGGAAACUUGAGCUAAUACCGCAUAAUGCAGCGGCACCCGAGGGUCAAAGCAGCGAUGCGCCUGGAGAGGAGCCUGCGUACGAUUAGCUUGUUGGCGGGGAAUUGGCCACCAAGGCGACGAUCGUUAGCUGGUCUGAGAGGAUGAUCAGCCACACUGGGACUGAGACACGGCCCAGACUCUACGGGAGGCAGCAGU
rnacentral:rRNA from 1 species